rnacentral:tRNA from 1 species
GGGCGAAUAGCUCAGGGGGAGAGCACCUGCCUUACAAGCAGGGGGUCGUAGGUUCAAAUCCUACUUCGCCCACCA